rnacentral:lncRNA from 1 species
UUCGGCGCGUGCAAGCCCUCCAACACCACCUUCACCUUGCCGUACACAUCGUCCGGAGCCGCCACAGCGCUGAUCACGUGGCACUUGCCCUGCGCAAGGUAGUGGUCCUUCACAGGCAGCGACUGCUCCAGGAAGGUGUGGAAGCGCUUGCGAAUGGUGUCGGCGUUGUCGUCGCUGCGGCCGCUGGUCUCCCCGCGCUUCAGCAGGCGCUUCUCCAUCUCCUCCUCCGGGCAGUCAAAGAACAGCACCGUCUUGCACGGCAUAAUGCUGCUCUCAAACUGCUCCGCCUGGUCCAGCGCGCGCGGAAAGCCGUCGAUGAGGAAGAACUUGCCACCGCUGGCUAUCAUGUCCCGCUUCAGCAGGUUGAGCGUGACAGCCACCGGCACGAGCUUGCCCUCCUUCAUCAGCGCCUCGCACUUCUGGCCGACCUCGCUGCCGCUCUUCACCUCAGCGCGCAGCAGGUCGCCGGCGCUGAGGUGCACGCACUCGUAGUCGGCCUUAAUCUUGUCGCAUUGCGUGCCCUUGCCGCUGCCGGGGCCGCCGAGCACGAACACGAUCUGGGCAUCGGCAGGCAGGCUGCCAGGCACAGGCGGCAGCGCGAUGUCCUGUUGCAUGAACGGAGAGCACAGAAGGAGGCAAGACGUUUCAGUUUUACAGUGACCAAACAUCCACUUGGCGCUACGGCCCGAGUGCUUCCCAAAGCACCCAUAGCAUCCUGCUGUCGCAUACAGCGCUGUGCGCAUCCCGAAAUUAAAGCCCCAACAAUUGGACAUAAGACAAGCCCAUGUCCAUUCACGACCCAAAUCUACGUGCUCAGGUCACGGCGCCGCAAAGUCCACCCAAGCAAAGCCCCACCCACCUCGGACUUCUUGGGUGCGCCCAUAGCGUCCAGCGCCGCCUUCACCUUGCCGUACACUUCCUUUGGGGGAGGGACAGCGCUGAUCACGUGGCACUUGCCCUGCGCAAGGUAGUGGUCCUUCACAGGCAGCGACUGAUCCAGGAAGGUGCGGAAGCGCUUGCGAAUGGUGUCGGCGUUGUCGUCGCUGCGGCCGCUGGUCUCCCCGCGCUUCAGCAGGCGCUUCUCCAUCUCCUCCUCCGGGCAGUCAAAGAACAGCACCGUCUUGCACGGCAUGAUGCUGCUCUCAAACUGCUCCGCCUGGUCCAGCGCGCGUGGAAAGCCGUCGAUGAGGAAGAACUUGCCGCCGCUGGCUAUCAUGUCCCGCUUCAGCAGGUUGAGCGUGACAGCCACCGGCACGAGCUUGCCCUCCUUCAUCAGCGCCUCGCACUUCUGGCCAACCUCGCUGCCGCUCUUCACCUCAGCGCGCAGCAGGUCGCCGGCGCUGAGGUGCACGCACUCAUACUCCUCCUUGAUCUGAUCGCAUUGCGUGCCCUUGCCGCUGCCGGGGCCGCCGAGCACGAACACGAUCUGGGCGUCGGCAGGCAGGCUGCCGGGCACGGGCGGCAGCGCAAACUCCUGCAUAGGGACGAAAAUGCAAUGGAAAUCAGCAAGCCGAGAUUAAUAAUCAGUGGAAACUUACGCAUCAGUACACUUGCACUUCAGUACGCAUCCUACUACCGGGAGGAUACGGUAAGGCAGGCAGGCAGAGGCCAUCGAUUUCACGCUUGCCCCAGCUUUCCGUACGAUGUACCGUAUGCUAGGUUGCUUGACCGGAACCCGUGCAAGACGCACACGGAUAUACCACCGGUGAACAGCCAUGACCGCUCACCUCCAAAGCAGCCGCAGCAGGAGUAGCCGAAACUGUCGCAGUCACGCCCGCCUUCUUCGGCGCGUGCAAGCCCUCCAGCACCACCUUCACCUUGCCGUACACAUCGUCCGGAGCCGCCACAGCGCUGAUCACGUGGCACUUGCCCUGCGUAAGGUAGUGGUCCUUCACAGGCAGCGACUGAUCCAGGAAGGUGCGGAAGCGCUUGCGAAUGGUGUCGGCGUUGUCGUCGCUGCGGCCGCUGGUCUCCCCGCGCUUCAGCAGGCGCUUCUCCAUCUCCUCCUCCGGGCAGUCGAAGAACAGCACCGUCUUGCACGGCAUGAUGCUGCUCUCAAACUGCGCCGCCUGGUCCAGCGCGCGCGGAAAGCCGUCGAUGAGGAAGAACUUGCCGCCGCUGGCUAUCAUGUCCCGCUUCAGCAGGUUAAGCGUGACAGCCACCGGCACGAGCUUGCCCUCCUUCAUCAGCGCCUCGCACUUCUGGCCGACCUCGCUGCCGCUCUUCACCUCAGCGCGCAGCAGGUCGCCGGCGCUGAGGUGCACGCACUCGUAGUCGGCCUUAAUCUUGUCGCAUUGCGUCCCCUUGCCGCUGCCGGGGCCGCCGAGCACGAACACGAUCUGGGCGUCGGCAGGCAGGUUGCCGGGCACAGGUGGCAGCGCGAUGUCCUGCAUAAAAGCAACCAAGGGAACAAACGUGCAAUCAUAAGGUGUUGGCUGUGGCGCCGACCAUGACCCAGUGCCCUUGUACACAAAGCAAUGGGGCGUGCCGUACGCGCCGCACACACAGAACAGCGGUUUGGUGGCUGGAAACAUAAGAUGCGGCACGGUAUCCCUAUCUGCAGGUCGGCUUCUCAAGUGUUCAACUUAGGCAAGACGCACCUCCGAAGCAGCCGGGGCCGCUGCAAGUGCCGUCGCCGCUGCGCUCGCCUUCUUCGGCGCGUGCAAGCCCUCCAGCACCACCUUCACCUUGCCGUACACAUCGUCCGGAGCCGCCACAGCGCUGAUCACGUGGCACUUGCCCUGCGUAAGGUAGUGGUCCUUCACGGGCAGCGACUGAUCCAGGAAGGUGUGGAAGCGCUUGCGAAUGGUGUCGGCGUUGUCGUCGCUGCGGCCGCUGGUCUCCCCGCGCUUCAGCAGGCGCUUCUCCAUCUCCUCCUCCGGGCAGUCAAAGAACAGCACCGUCUUGCACGGCAUGAUGCUGCUCUCAAACUGCUCCGCCUGGUCCAGCGCGCGUGGAAAGCCGUCGAUGAGGAAGAACUUGCCGCCGCUGGCUAUCAUGUCCCGCUUCAGCAGGUUGAGCGUGACAGCCACCGGCACGAGCUUGCCCUCCUUCAUCAGCGCCUCGCACUUCUGGCCAACCUCGCUGCCGCUCUUCACCUCAGCGCGCAGCAG